GUCGAGUGGCUGUGGUGUUGUAGCGACAGAGAAGCAGGAACUAGCUCGCUCACUGCGCUCUGUGAUGGGUGGGGCUGUUAGCUUGGUGGCCAGCAGGCUAACGGGCUCUCACACCACAGAGCAGAUUAGAUGCUUCUCUCACAGAGUUUGGGGAGUAAAACAGCAUCUGAGGGAGAAACGUCGAGUAUAGUACAGCUGAAACAGUAGUUAGGUUAAUGAGGCCCACUGAGCUGCGAUUUGGUACCAAGCUCUCGAGUGAGGUUACUGUCCUAACCUAUAUCAGGCUGAAGUUAGUAACAUCUGUUCUUCUUCUUAUGUCCCUGUUUUCAGGCUUAGCCAGAUCUUUUCUACCUCCAGCAUUUCUCAGGCCCCCUACCCACUCCCCACAUUUGCAGCUUCAGGAGCCUUUUCACCAGGAAUAAACAAAGUACAAAAUUCCAGACUUGAGUAAAAGUAGAAAUUUACUUAAUUAAAUAGAAAAGUAUUUGUCUUUACUUACAAAAGUUCUUGCUUUAAAAAGGAGACUUUAAUCAGAAAUUUUAAUGCAUCAAAACAAUACUAUUGGUUAUUUUUUAUUUUAUUUAUUUACAAAAGUCAUUAUACUUCAAGAUUGUGGCAAAAUAAGAAUUUUGUCUCAUAUACACAAAGAAAUUGUGGACAUUAGCAAGAUAAACUAGCAAAGUGAAAAGGAUAAACAUGAACUAACAAAGUUCCACUUUGAUUCAGGUUGACUUUAAAUGUACUUGAUCAAAAUAUCAUAAGUAAAAGUAGUACAGAGUGUUAUUGCAGUUAUAUCAUUUUGGCGGAUACUUUCUGUGAAGGAGUCCUGUGUGGCUGCAGACAUUACCUGUUCAUGUCUGUAUCCACCUGGGUCUCCUUAACAGAAAGUAUUCACCAAAAUGAUAUAUUUUCUAUGGUAGCUUAGAGUGCUUGUACUUCUGAUACUUAUGUACUCAACUUAAGUGCAAAUGUUGACUGAACACCUUUACACAAGUAGUAUUCAACCCAGAGCACUUCUGCUUUUACUCAAGUUACUAACACCAGUCUUACACAACAACUAAGAAGUUGAGUACUUUGUCCACCCUGCUCCUCGCUGACCACCUACUCCAGAAGAAGCCAGAAAAAUCUCUAUGAUGCAGUCAUGAGGAAUCCGUCUUCACAAACUGCAGGUGACAAAGAAAUUGACCAGAGACCACAUCUGUUAAGAGUUGAGUGUAUUUAGCAGAGAGGGUCAUGCCGGUCAGUAGUGAACACCUGAUGGUCAACAUGUGAGUCCUCAUGCAGAACUGGCGACAGUGCACACUUUAAGUCUCAGUCAUCAUCCAACAUCAUGUCCGUGUGAGACUCUGUCCCAUAUUGAUCCCCCUCUUCGGUCAAGUGAC